UACAGAGGUCUCAAGCGUUGUUCGGAUUCAUUGGGCGUAAAGGGUGCGUAGGCGGCGCGGUAAGUCGGGUGUGAAAUCUUGGGCUUAACUCCGAAACUGCAUUCGAUACUGCCGUGCUUGAGGACUGGAGAGGAGACUGGAAUUUACGGUGUAGCGGUGAAAAUGCGUAGAUAUCGUAAGGAAGACCAGUGGCGAAGGCGGGUCUCUGGACAGUUUCCUGAC
rnacentral:rRNA from 1 species